rnacentral:lncRNA from 12 species
AUGAAAAAGAGAAGGAGGGAAAGUGAGAGGGAGGGUUUCGCCUCACAUUCCACUGUCAUUUGCCCCAUUGGAAAAAAAAAUAAAGGACAAAAAAUACAGCACGAACAGAGAUCCUGUCUGGUUACUAUAGCAACCGAAAGGCUAUUAUCGUACCUUGCCAUUCAUUAUGAAAGGGCUUUAGUUGACAGAGAGAGGGUUGGGAAGGGGGGAGAUAGAGGGAGAAAGAGACAGACAGAGAGAGAGAGAGAGAGAGAGAGAGAAAGAGAUCAGUGCUUGUGGCUAGCAAAUGGAGAGAGAGGUAGGAGGGAUGAUACAGAGGACAGAUGUAAAAUAUACAUAAGUUGGAAAAAGAAAAAACAGAAAAAGAUAAACAGGCCCAUAUGUAAUCUGCACAUUUGCACAGCAAUGUAAUGCUUGUCUUUCAUUAAUAAUGAUUAUUCAUUUAGAUACCAAGAAUACUAAUGGAGUAUUUUUAGAUCCAUUUCUAGAUUCCAUCUAGGCCAUCUUAUUCAGUGCAUUGUGAAAAAUGACAGAAAGAUAAACAGAGAAACACAAAGCAUAGUUAAGGUGCACUCACAUGUACAUACAGUAUACACACACUUAAAGGGGGCGUUUAUCUGGUGCUUGCGCCUGCCUCUGACUGUGAAUGCUGACUCCAAUCUGCUCUGUUUUCUGUUAUAGGAAAGUAGGCUGAAAGCCAUCUGAGGACAGAGAGAGAGGGAGGGAAAGAGAGAGGGCACAUGCAAGAGCCAGAGAUUGAAAACAAGAGAAUUUUCGAACAAGAAAAAUUGAAAUACACCGCAUGUGAUUAAUCCGUCUCAAAUGUAGCACACUGACAUAAAUACAUUCUGCCUCUAGACUACAUACAUCCUCAUGCACAGAAUCCCAGCGAUUCAGCGGCUGUGGCCGAACGCUCUGUUGGUCCAUUGUGCUGGUUUAUUUUAGAGAAAUCAGCUGGACUGAGGGGGUGAGCUGCAGUCGGGCAUGCCUGGAAAAAAAUGCUAUUUACUCACAUUCCUGCUGCUUCCCUUUUUAAAUGACAAAUGAGCUUCAACCGUCGAGCUAUUCUUCUCUCUCUCUGCUCUUUCUUAAAAAAUUUUCCAACUUUCGUCCAAACGUAUUCUUCUUUGUUGCACAUUUAACAUCCACCAUUAUUAGUAUGUGUUUGUUUUUCUGUUUGUGUGGAAGCACUCAGAUGGACAGACUAUAGAGAAAUAUGUAGGAUGCUUUAUGCCAGCCUUGAACAUAUGGCCAUGUGAAACAACGUCUGUGAGAAAGGGACAACGGUGUCUUCUUACUGCAAAAUACACAGACAUGCACACAUGGCCAGACACAAAACAAGAACAUCACGUUUAAAAAAAAAAAAAAUUUCAAGAAAAAGUUUUGACCAACGAAUUUCAACGACUUUGCCAAACAUAUAGACAUCGUUUUAUAGCGAUAGCUUGGCAGAUCUCAAAUUGGAGGGAAUCUAUUUAAAUGAACAUCCUUUCCGGUCACACUUUAUUUUAACGUCCAAUUCUCACUAUUUACAAAUCAUUAACUAUGACUUUUUUCUCAAUAAACUCCUAAUUUGCUGCUUAUUAAUAGUUAGUAAGGCAGUUGUUAAGUUUAGGUAUUGGGUAGGAUUAAGGAUGUAGAAUAUGGUCAUCUACAAAAAUGCUUCAUAAGUACUAAUAAACAGCUAAUAUGUUAAUAAUAGGCAUGCCAAUAAGCACCUAGUUAAUAGUGAGAAUUGUUCCCUAUGCUAAAGUGUUACCAACACUUUCGUAUAAAUCCCUCAAUAUACAGAUCGAUGUUUCACACUGGCUUGCAGUCUUGUUUUACUCUAUAGAAGCACUCAGUAUCAAGUCCAUUAAAAAUUUCUGACCAGGGCAAAACUUGACAAAUUUAUAUUCACUACAGAAAUGUAUUUAAUUAUAUUCAUUGUAUACUAUACUUAAAUCACACUUUUAUUACUCUCUUAUAUUUCCAGGUUUUCAAUGACUGUGUGAACGCUGAAAAAAUAUAAAUAAAAGAUCAAACGAUCCAAAAAUCAAUGAAACCGGAUGGCAGGCAAAAACACGGCCUUUCCGUGUGUGACUUUAACAUUUCAGACAUUUUAACUUUGUGCUAUACAUCGAUUCACUACUCUCUGAGCUGAUUAGUUCUCAUAAUCAUAUUGCGGGUGGAGUGAGUGUAUCUGUGUGUGUGAGACUGCUCAGGGUACUUUGGUACUGCGGUAAAAUCUGGGCGUUCCUGGGGCGUGUGCUGGCACUGCAGACCAACUACCAUGAUUCUGACAGUGAGCGAGAGGAAAGGGGUGUGUGUGUGGGAGGAACAGCGUGUGUGCGGAUAUUAUCAGUGGAGUGACACUUUAAGAAACCUGUAACUUCAGCAGCAUUCCUCUACUGCACUACUGCAUAUGGACAAGGGAUGCUGAGCAAGACAAGGAGCGAGAUUUCCAUGCCAAACCCCCACGGUGACUAAAGCAAAUAUCUUCCAUCAUAACCGUCCUGCAUUUUCACACUGACCUUGCACCAGUUUCACACACACACAUACUUGUUUGACGAAGUGGGCUGGUGUGGUGGGUGAGGUGUGGUGCCAGAGGAAGACGAGGGCACCAGAACAAUAGUCUUCAUCCAGCACUGUGGCACACUGCAGAGGAGAGGAGGGGUGCCAGCAUGCCCUCGCUGAAGCUAAACACCACAAUACACACAACAUGCCAUUACAAACACUCAGAGUGAAUGCUGAGCCACUUAUAUGAACAAACCCUGAUCAAUUUUUAGGGUUACUAUAACAAUCUCUGAUAUGAGAAAAUGCUACGCUGUCUUAAAUUUACAGGCUUUACGGACCAAUGAAUGAGCCUUGACCAAUCAAAGCACGUAUUUGUAUAAUUUUCGUAUUUUGAUAUUCGUUUAAUUGUUGUAUUAUAAAACAUGUCCAACUGUUCUAAUAACUGCAGAGAGGAUUACAAGCAGCUAUUUUUUAUGGCUUGCCAUUUCAACUGGCAAAGAUUCCUAAUGAAAUGUAAGAUUUCAGCUUUAAAAAACUGAAAGUGUAACAAUAACAACAUAGAGCGAGUAUUAAAUAUGAACUAAUUUGGCAAGGCUUUAAUAAAAUGUUUCCGUGGAUACAUACACAGAGUUUGUUUAUAUAUAAUAUUAGCUCAGUACAUAAGAUAAGUCUUCAUGCAUCGUCCUCGUUACAUUGGAAGAACAUUAUUAGUCUAUUCUAAACAUCAAAUCAUUUAAAAUAAAUAUGACCAUUUUUAUUGCCUUUAAUAAAUCACUGGCAUCAUAUUAAACUAAUAGCUUAAAAUAUUACCUUUCUGAAAAAAUAAUCACAACUUAUAUUUAAACGAAUAUUUCCGUUAUAAAAACGAUCCUUUAAAUUAUAGAGUUAUUAAAAGCCCACAUUAUCUAAGAAACCCAAUACACAUUUGUUAUAUCAAUGCACUGUAUUCUGUCUCUUUGCCUCCCGUGACCCGAUGCACUAACAUAGACUAUAUGCUCUACAGUGUAAUAAGAUACUGGAACAAACCACACAGCACAUACACAUACAUAAACACAUAUUCAAACACAAUGAUACAAACAUUUAAAACAAGAAUGUGCUAUAUACUCAUGAUAUGCUACAUACUCAGUUAUGGUUAUCCCAAUUAACACUAUUUAUAAUCUACAUACAUCUAGAUUUAGUCAAUUAACCAAAAGUAUCCUCUUUAGCUGUAUUUCAAGUAUCAGA